CUUUCAUUGUUGCUUUCUUCAUUGUAGUCAUGAUUGUAUUGUUUAACCAGUAGCUCCUCUAAGUUCACGAUGGACAGUCGGUUGACAGCAGCAGCAGGGCAGCCAUUCUCAUCCCUGCUGUUGUCUCCUCUCAAAGGACCAUAUAUGACCCACCCCAAUAGGGUCCUCACAGCGUAUGGUCCAUUGGCUUGGCUAUUGACCACCUCCCAAGGUUCCAAUGCCUUAGAAGCAUUUGUGCCUAUGAGCAGGUCAAUGCCAGAAUCUAUUUCAUGAAUCUUGACGUCCUUCAAGUAAGGCCAUUGCAUCAGGUCUUCUUGUCUGGGAAUGUUGAGCUUGGAAACAGGCAUGAUCUUAUGUGUAAAUACAUUGGGCAGUUGUAUGAAAUCAGUUUUGUCCAGACUUGAUAUCUCUAAACCUGGGAUAUGAUGACUAGUCACAGGUUUCACUUGGUUCAUUGUACGUAAAAGAAUACUAGUCUUUUGUCCUGUUACAUUCAGUCUUCUCAUCAGGCUUUCUGUGCAGAAGGUGGCUGAGCUUCCAUGGUCCAAAAACGCAUACGUCUGCAACACAGUGUCUCCUUUGGGGGUCUUCACUUGUACUGGCACAAUAGAGAAGAGACAGGCUAUUUCACCGGCCCCAAUAUGCCCACAUGUAUGAGGUGUUGCAGUAGUUGCAAAACUGCUUCCUCUUGGUCUCGGCCUCUCUCUUGCUGUGACAUAGGGUUUGACGGAUGUAGUUGUCUUAGCAUCCUGGAUGUUCCCAAAAAGUGGAUCCGACAAUAUCUUCACUUGUCUCUCCAUGAAGUCUACCAAGUCAGAGAAACUAGCUCGACGUCCAUGUUGUUCCUGGAGCUGACAUGCCCUAUUCCUCCACUUGUCUCUGAGCUUGUAAGGCAGUUUCAGAAGAAUGGUCUUCAUACUGGAAGCGACGUUCAACUCCUCCAUAUAGCCCUCAGCCGAAGACAAAUGUUGACAGCUGUGGACUAAAUCCUUUGGAUACCCUCUGGUAUAUUGCUCUAGGAAAUGCAGGCAGUCACUGUAGUCAUCAGUCUUUCUUUCCACUCCUCUCUCGAAUGCCCUGAUGAAAACUCCAUAUUGCAAGGGAUCACCAUCAUAAACGGGAAUAUCUCUUGGUGGUAAAGUAGAAGAGAGAUUGUGUUGAGCUAGAAGAGAGGUUAUGUCACUUUGCUUCUGAAUGAUGUGAUAGAUAUCACCUUGAUUAUGAUCAUUAUAUCCAGGUUGUGUUAGAGGAGU
ensembl:lncRNA